AAGUGGUGAAGGCGCCUCCAGGCGGUGCCCGCUGGUCUCUAGAGUGUCAGUGGCGCUGUCUUCCUGCGUUACCGGAGCGCACAAAAUACUCGGUCCCCAGGCCGAGAACGCACCUCUACCUGGGUCCUGGGUCCCAUUUCACAGACUGAGAUGCGUGAAGCGCCUCCUUUAGAAGAGCUGACAAUUCUUAGCAAACCAAGUUUUGCGUGAUUUUGGGGAGGCGGCGCUGCCCCAGGAACGCCUGGAGGUAUUUGUGGUUUUCUGCCGCUUACCUGGUUGAACUCUGGUCCCAACGGGCCCCCUGCACAUUUUCUCCUACAAUGCAUCAACGCGCAAAUUGCCCCACUGUCUUUCUUAAAGGCCUCCCCUUUAAGUCAGUUUGCAGACAUAAAAAUAAGCAACAUUAAUUAAGCAUUUGCCGUGUACUUGUCUUCAUAUAUUAUCUCAUUUAAUCCCCUGUGUCAAGCCGAUAAGGUCAUCCCCGUUUUUAUUUAUUUAAUGAUUUAACACAGUCCCUAAACGUUUUCAGUGCUUUACCUCAUUUAAUACUCCUAACAACCUAGACGGUAUUAUUAUUAUUCCUACUUCAUAAGGCCAGAGAGGUGAAGUAUCUAGCCCAAGGUCACAUAGCUUAGAGUAUAGGUUUGGGGAUUUAAAUCCAGUUUGGUCUGAUUUCAGGGCCUGCACCACCAAACUGGACAGCCAUGGGUGUGUAACCUCUUUUUGGGCCUGAGAAACAGACCUUUCUCUCCACUCAGAGCUCCGGCUUCAGCUAUUGUGCUUCCGAAUGCCACUACCAUCAGAUAUGCCAUCUACAGAACUUAACACCUGAGCACCCACCCUUCAGGGCAAUAUGGUGAAACCCCUUUUCUACAAAAAACUUAGCCAAGCAUGGCAUAUUUGUGUAAUGCCAUUUGCAUGACCCACAUGGUCACCCUGGACCCCGUGGAUCAGGCCCUGCCUGGUGCCACCACCGCCACUUCUGUGCCAGGCCCCCAGUGUGAUGCAAGUUGCAUGAUGCUCUUUGCUGUAGUGCCUUUUAAUGGCAUAGCUUUGGCAGGUUUGGAGAUGUUCAGAAUAGGCAAAUCCUGUGGUGGAUUUGUGGUUGUCUAAGGCCCUGGUGGAAGGGAGCAUAGGUGAAUUGGAGGGGAUGAUUAAAAGGUGUGAGAUUUCAUUUUGGGGUGAUGAAAAUGUUCUAAAAUUGGUUGUAGUAAUGGUUAUACAACUCUGAAUAUACUAAAAGGCAUUGAAUUGUACACUUUCAAUAUGUGAGUUAUAUCUCAAUAAAGCUAUUUUACA
rnacentral:lncRNA from 10 species